rnacentral:rRNA from 1 species
UACGGAGGGGGCUAGCGUUGUUCGGAAUUACUGGGCGUAAAGCGCACGUAGGCGGCUUUGCAAGUUAGAGGUGAAAGCCCGGGGCUCAACUUGGGAACCGCGCUUGAGACUGGCACGCUAGAGUUCGGGAGAGGAUGGUGGAAUUCCCAGUGUAGAGGUGAAAUUCGUAGAUAUUGGGAAGAACACCGAUGGCGAAGGCAGCCAUCUGGACCGACACUGACGCUGAGGCGCGAAAGCGUGGGGAGCAAACAGG